rnacentral:rRNA from 1 species
GUCUACGACCAUACCACCCGUGAAACACCGGUUCUCGUCUGAUCACCGAAGUUAAGCCUGGUCGGGCGAAGUUAGUACUUGGAUGGGUGACCGCCUGGGAAUACUUCGUGUUGUAGACU